AAAUACUAAACAAAAACCUACACACAAAUAUGAAUGCCUCACAACUUUGUGCUAUCUCGUUGUUUAAUUAUAUCAACUUAAAAAAACCUACGUGAGUUACGGCAUUCAGCAGCUGGGUUUUAGCUUUUCAGCUUUUCCUAACACGUAAUCGGUGACAUUAUGAGCUUUGUAGCAGCGGCAAAGUCGAAAGCGAAGGCAUUGCAUUUGCAAGAAUUAAGAGAGGCUGCAUGAAACGUGAAAGAAAGAAGAGAGACCAAAGCAACUCAUUGCAAGUUAGAUACAUUAAACUACACUACACAAUAGGAGACAUCCAAAAUUUAGAUAUUGUAUCUUUUCGGGUUUCCGUCGAUAAACCAGUAUGGACUGGCUCUGGCACGGGCAAGAAAACAUUCAACUAAUAUCGUUGAUUUAAUUAAUCGUUUGUUUGGUUGUUUUUUUGGUUUUGCUGCUGAUAAAAUGUUGUGAUUAAAAUAAAAAAAAAAAUUAAAAACAAAAAUAAAACAAGAAUACCAAAAUAUGAUAUACACAUUGGCUUUGGUGGUAAAAUUCUCGGCGCAUAAAAACAUAGAGGCUCGCCCUCACUUUUUCUAUGGACAAUUUUCAAAAUUUGCGCAUUUCAAUAUUUCGUUUUCGUGCUAUGAUUUAUGAGUAUUUAAAAUGCAUGUAGAGACAAAACCAACCACCACCAAGACCAAGCCAAGUGCAAUUCCUACUCCAAGAGAUAGACAUUCAUCUACAAUCAGUUUUUGUAACGCCGCCGAGCCGGUCGAGGAGGUAGACAAAUCGACUAAAUUUAUUUACAAAGUCUGGUUUUUAUUACACAAUUUUUCAAAUGCCAAUUAUUUAAGAAUCGAAUCGGUUUUGGUGUGCUUAUGUAGUAGCUUAGUGAUGGAUAAUCCAAAAGAUAUGUCUAGAAAACUUUCAGGGCUCAUUGCAAACGUCGUCGUCGUCUUUUAAGCUUUAAGAAAAAAGAACUGAACAGAAAAUUUUGCUGUGCGUAGGAGACAUGCUUACUCUACCUAGUAUAGUCAACGAGAAAACCUCCAAAAGUGAUUAAUCGUUAAAAUCGAUAUUGUGAACCUAUGUGUUGUAGAACGUACACCCGGAAGGUGCUGCUUUACGAGGAAAGAGGCUGGAACGAAGACGAGGGGUAAGGACCCUCAACUUUGCCGUGGAUUGAGUUCUUUUUUGUUGUUGUUUUACUCUCGCAGACGAAAAAUAUUUUAUUUUCGUCUACCACCGAAGUUGUGCCGGCGAAUAUGAUAAAAUAUAUCACGCACAAGUUGCGAACUCAGUCGAUUAACGAUAACCUCAACAAUUCUUGUAGUUUUACCAAAAAGAGUGACGUACACGAUUCCGGAACCGAAUCUGAUGGUGAUAUAGAUGCUGAGAGAGUUCACUCAGAGCCCGAAAUGGAAACAAGCAUGAGCUCUCGCCUAGACGCUACUUCCCCAACUGAUACCGCUUGCUCCUUAGAUUCCCCUGCCAUGAUGUGUCAGUCCCACCUGUUAUAUGAUCAACACAGCUCAGAAGAAGAGCUUGAGGUAAUAAAUGGACCGUCUUCUUUAGCAGCCGCAGAAGCGGCAGCCAGUAUUCUUGUAGUACGUGGGACUGCUUCUUCGCUCAUAUCCGAAAGAGGUUCAUCAUCGUUAGAGCCAGAUGAACUUUUUGGUGAGGCUGCAUCCACAUCGAAACGUUCCAGCUCAACGAUGAUAGAAAAUAGAAAACGAUCAUUGGCUCAUAGUUCAGACGAUGAGCUAAAAAAUAUGUUAGAACCGAUCUCAACACCAGUUAACUUCCGGACCUCGCCUCCAUUGGAAGCGUUAAAACCGAAUCGAAGCCAUAUGUUCCGUUCCGCAACUCCACUUAUCCUGACUGAGGCGAGUCGUGGCAUUGAGAACAUUAAAAUUUCUUGUGAUAGUACUAGUAGUGACCAAAAUGGAAGCGGUGAUGGAAGCACCAGCAGCAACAGUGGCAAUGGUGAGCAAUCUUCUGCCAGUACCAGUAAUCAAAGUAGCUGUAUUGCUGCAUUAAAAUCAAGCUGCAGCAGCCAUCAUAUCCACCAACCUCAGCCAAAAUAUCAAUUUCAUUACAACAGCAGUCGAAGCAGUCCAGCAUCAACAACAUCAGGACUAGAAUUGGAUGUGCGUUCAGUUAGUCCGCCGGCGAAACUUUUUCAUUGUGCAAUAUCCCCACGCCGGCGACCAAUGCGAGCCCAUCACGCCCCACAAAGACUACAGCGUCCUCAUAGACCAUGUUUAGAUUUUGAUAAAAUGCAACAGCAAAGUGACUCAACAACCAAUGAACCUCCAACGUGUAAGAGCGUAUUUCCAAUAGUAUGACCAUUUUGUAGGAAUUAUCGUAUAGUAGCCACUACUGUGAUAAAAUUACUGCAAACGACAUGAAUUGAAACUCCAGGACCGAUCGGUGUCCUCAUGGCGGCACAAUAGCGAACAUACAGGUGAAUUGUCUGUUUUCUGUUGGUGAUGAGUUUAAAAAAAAACACACGCACUUUUUGCUCCUUCACUUCCCAAUUUCAAAAAAAAAAUUAAACGAAAAAUAUGAAAAAUCGAAAAAGCAAAAUCAUGGGCUUGAAAACAAAACAUUUGGUCAUCUUAAACAAAACACCGUCAUUGAUUAAAGAAGCCACAUCCCCAAAAACGAACCCAUCAGCAGACCAUCAGUGUUUGCGGUCCUCGUCGAAGUUAUAUUGGAUUUUUACAAUUUAAUUUGUGGCUCGCGUUUCCAUGGAUGCGGAGAUUAAGUCGAAUUUGUCAGUUCUGUCUUUAAAUAACUAAUAUAUAAAUAAUAAUGUAGUUGAUUUGUUUCCCACGGAAACGACAGCGAUGAUGUAUUACAAAUAUUUAAACAAAAAACAAAAAUUUACUUUUAUGAAUAUGCAUUGACAUUAUUGUUAUAAAAAAAAGUAUACUUUAUAUUUUUGUUUCGUUUUCUUAUGUUUACUUUGUCCUAAUCCUCCUCCUCCUCCAUUUUUCAUAACCCAAAUUUAAAUUAAAAAACAAACAAACUAAACAAAAAAACACCGCCAAUUUAUCUUCGACGACAUUAUACAGUUACAGCAAAACAACGUUUCAAUAAUAUCGAAAACUAUAUUUAUAAAACAGGAAAUCAACAAAACAAAAACAAAAACACAAUUCUCAAAGAAUAAGAAAAAGUAAAAUUAAUGUAAUAAGCAAAUUCAUAUUCAAUUAUAUAUAUUUUAACAACCAAUUUAGUGUAAAAAACAAAACUCAACAACAAUAUUUAAGUUGCAAUAUGUAUGAAUGUAGGAAUUAUGUUUCUAACAAAAGAUGACACAAUCACCCAAGUCCACAUCCGUAUCCCCCGGAAGUGGACUACUGGAUGAGUUCGUUAAAACACACAAACUUAAGUAAUUAUAAGUUAUUCAGAAACAAAAAAAUAGAACUAUAUUCUAUCAAGCAGAAAUAAAAAAACAAACAAUAAAAUUUAAACAAAAUAAGUCUCUAAAAAAAAAAAACAAAACAAAAUAAUGAAAAUAAAAACGCAUUAACCAAAACCAAAAGUACUAAACAAUAUAAUAUCACUACAAUGAAUUAAUACAAAACAAAAAAUAAUAACAAAAAUAUUUUUUUCUAACUUUUUACUCAAUAUACAUACAAUACUAAUUAUAAAACAAAGAAAACCGAUAAUAGAAAUAUACAACAACAAAAUGGAAAAAUUCAUAUUUUAGUUAUGGAAUAAUCACUUGAAGCAAAACAAAUAAGGAAACCUAUCAUUUUUAUACGAAAAGAGAAAUGCAUAUAAGGAACAUAAAAUUAAAAUUUAAAACAAAACAAAAAAAUAUAUUAUAAUAUUUAAAAUUUAAUAAUUACAAGGAUCAUCGUAAACAUCAUCAUCAAAUUCAGACAAUUAAAAAACAAAGCGAAAAAAAAAACAAAGUAAAGUUAAGAAGAGGAAACAAAAGAUGUUUGUAGCAGACAGAGGCACAACCGUUGUGUGUACAAUAUUAUAAAAAUUUAUAAUAAUUAAAAUUAAAAAAUCGACAACUAGGCAUUUAAGUAGGUAUCGAGCAAACAAGAAAAACAUGACUGAAAUUAUUGUGUAGAUUUUAAGAUACAAAAACAAAACAACAAAAAUUCAUUUGGUUGAAAAACAUAAAACAGAAAAUACUUUUAGAUUUAUCCAAAAUGAUGAUCUGCAUUAUACAACUCACAUCAAAAACGGGCAUAUUUAUGCAAAGCAUCCAUUAUACCGUUAAUUUUUUGUGGUUUUUAAAAACAAGAUGAAAACAAAAAGAAAAAUGAAAAUUUUCAAAAAAAAAACGUUUUGUCGAUGAUAUUAAAAUUAAUGAUAAUGCGAUAUCAUUUCUGGAUGUAUAAUAAUUGUAUUUACUCUUUAAUUUUUAAGUAAUUUCCUCUAACCUUUUCUGUGAACAAUAAAUUAUGGUUUUGAAUAGAUUCUCAAAAUGUCUAUCAUUGUCCGUUGAUCGACUAUCAUUGUUUAUAACUAACGAACACACAACAGAAUGGAAAAUUAAUUAAAAUUAAUAAAAACAAAACAUUAAAUGUA